UGCAAGUCGAGCGAGAAAGUAUCUUCGGAUAUGAGUAGAGCGGCGGACGGGUGAGUAACGCGUAGGAAUCUACCUAGUAGAAGGGGAUAGCCCGGGGAAACUCGGAUUAAUACCGUAUACCUCCUUAGGGAGAAAGAGGGCCUCUCUUGAAGCUCUCGCUAUUAGAUGAGCCUGCGUAAGAUUAGCUUGUUGGUAAGGUAAUGGCUUACCAAGGCUACGAUCUUUAGCUGGUCUGAGAGGACGAUCAGCCACAUUGGGACUGAGACACGGCCCAGACUCCUACGGGAGGCAGCAGUGGGGAAUAUUGGACAAUGGGCGCAAGCCUGAUCCAGCCAUACCGCGUGUGUGAAGAAGGCCUUCGGGUUGUAAAGCACUUUAAGCAGGGAGAAAAAGCAAUAAGUUAAUACCUUAUUGCCGUGAUGUUACCUGCAGAAUAAGCACCGGCUAAUUCCGUGCCAGCAGCCGCGGUAAUACGGAAGGUGCAAGCGUUAAUCGGAAUUACUGGGCGUAAAGCGCGCGUAGGUGGUUUGUUAAGUUGGAUGUGAAAGCCCUGGGCUCAACCUAGGAACUGCAUCCAAAACUAACUCACUAGAGUACGAUAGAGGGAGGUAGAAUUCAUAGUGUAGCGGUGGAAUGCGUAG
rnacentral:rRNA from 1 species